GGGUUGUGAGGUUAAGCGACUAAGCGUACACGGUGGAUGCCCUGGCAGUCAGAGGCGAUGAAGGACGUGCUAAUCUGCGAAAAGCGCCGGUAAGGUGAUAUGAACCGUUAUAGCCGGCGAUGUCCGAAUGGGGAAACCCAGUGUGAUUCGUCACACUAUCAUUAACUGAAUCCAUAGGUUAAUGAGGCGAACCGGGGGAACUGAAACAUCUAAGUACCCCGAGGAAAAGAAAUCAACCGAGAUUCCCCCAGUAGCGGCGAGCGAACGGGGAGCAGCCCAGAGCCUGAAUCAGCUUGUGUGUUAGUGGAAGCGUCUGGAAAGUCGCGCGAUACAGGGUGACAGCCCCGUACACAAAAGCACACAGGCUGUGAGCUCGAUGAGUAGGGCGGGACACGUGGUAUCCUGUCUGAAUAUGGGGGGACCAUCCUCCAAGGCUAAAUACUCCUGACUGACCGAUAGUGAACCAGUACCGUGAGGGAAAGGCGAAAAGAACCCCGGCGAGGGGAGUGAAAAAGAACCUGAAACCGUGUACGUACAAGCAGUGGGAGCAUCCUUCGGGGUGUGACUGCGUACCUUUUGUAUAAUGGGUCAGCGACUUAUAUUCUGUAGCAAGGUUAACCGAAUAGGGGAGCCGAAGGGAAACCGAGUCUUAACUGGGCGUUAAGUUGCAGGGUAUAGACCCGAAACCCGGUGAUCUAGCCAUGGGCAGGUUGAAGGUUGGGUAACACUAACUGGAGGACCGAACCGACUAAUGUUGAAAAAUUAGCGGAUGACUUGUGGCUGGGGGUGAAAGGCCAAUCAAACCGGGAGAUAGCUGGUUCUCCCCGAAAGCUAUUUAGGUAGCGCCUCGUGAAUUCAUCUCCGGGGGUAGAGCACUGUUUCGGCUAGGGGGCCAUCCCGGCUUACCAACCCGAUGCAAACUACGAAUACCGGAGAAUGUUAUCACGGGAGACACACGGCGGGUGCUAACGUCCGUCGUGAAGAGGGAAACAACCCAGACCGCCAGCUAAGGUCCCAAAGUCAUGGUUAAGUGGGAAACGAUGUGGGAAGGCCCAGACAGCCAGGAUGUUGGCUUAGAAGCAGCCAUCAUUUAAAGAAAGCGUAAUAGCUCACUGGUCGAGUCGGCCUGCGCGGAAGAUGUAACGGGGCUAAACCAUGCACCGAAGCUGCGGCAGCGACACUAUGUGUUGUUGGGUAGGGGAGCGUUCUGUAAGCCUGCGAAGGUGGCCUGUGAGGGUUGCUGGAGGUAUCAGAAGUGCGAAUGCUGACAUAAGUAACGAUAAAGCGGGUGAAAAGCCCGCUCGCCGGAAGACCAAGGGUUCCUGUCCAACGUUAAUCGGGGCAGGGUGAGUCGACCCCUAAGGCGAGGCCGAAAGGCGUAGUCGAUGGGAAACAGGUUAAUAUUCCUGUACUUGGUGUUACUGCGAAGGGGGGACGGAGAAGGCUAUGUUAGCCGGGCGACGGUUGUCCCGGUUUAAGCGUGAAGGUGUGUGCUCCAGGCAAAUCCGGAGCACUUUAACACUGAGGCGUGAUGACGAGGUACUACGGUGCUGAAGUAACAAAUGCCCUGCUUCCAGGAAAAGCCUCUAAGCUCCAGGUAACACGAAAUCGUACCCCAAACCGACACAGGUGGUCAGGUAGAGAAUACCAAGGCGCUUGAGAGAACUCGGGUGAAGGAACUAGGCAAAAUGGUGCCGUAACUUCGGGAGAAGGCACGCUGAUACGUAGGUGAAGUCCCUCGCGGAUGGAGCUGAAAUCAGUCGAAGAUACCAGCUGGCUGCAACUGUUUAUUAAAAACACAGCACUGUGCAAACACGAAAGUGGACGUAUACGGUGUGACGCCUGCCCGGUGCCGGAAGGUUAAUUGAUGGGGUCAUCCGUAAGGAGAAGCUCUUGAUCGAAGCCCCGGUAAACGGCGGCCGUAACUAUAACGGUCCUAAGGUAGCGAAAUUCCUUGUCGGGUAAGUUCCGACCUGCACGAAUGGCGUAAUGAUGGCCAGGCUGUCUCCACCCGAGACUCAGUGAAAUUGAACUCGCUGUGAAGAUGCAGUGUACCCGCGGCAAGACGGAAAGACCCCGUGAACCUUUACUAUAGCUUGACACUGAACACUGGUCCUUGAUGUGUAGGAUAGGUGGGAGGCUUUGAAGCGUGGACGCCAGUCUGCGUGGAGCCGCCCUUGAAAUACCACCCUUUAAUGGCUGGUGUUCUAACGUGGACCCGUGAUCCGGGUUGCGGACAGUGUCUGGUGGGUAGUUUGACUGGGGCGGUCUCCUCCUAAAGCGUAACGGAGGAGCACGAAGGUCAGCUAAUCCUGGUCGGACAUCAGGAGGUUAGUGCAAUGGCAUAAGCUGGCUUGACUGCGAGCGUGACGGCGCGAGCAGGUGCGAAAGCAGGUCAUAGUGAUCCGGUGGUUCUGAAUGGAAGGGCCAUCGCUCAACGGAUAAAAGGUACUCCGGGGAUAACAGGCUGAUACCGCCCAAGAGUUCAUAUCGACGGCGGUGUUUGGCACCUCGAUGUCGGCUCAUCACAUCCUGGGGCUGAAGUAGGUCCCAAGGGUAUGGCUGUUCGCCAUUUAAAGUGGUACGCGAGCUGGGUUUAGAACGUCGUGAGACAGUUCGGUCCCUAUCUGCCGUGGGCGCUGGAGAAUUGAGGGGGGCUGCUCCUAGUACGAGAGGACCGGAGUGGACGCAUCACUGGUGUUCGGGUUGUCAUGCCAAUGGCACUGCCCGGUAGCUAAAUGCGGAAGAGAUAAGUGCUGAAAGCAUCUAAGCACGAAACUUGCCCCGAGAUGAGUUCUCCCUGAGACUUUAAGUCUCCUGAAGGAACGUUGAAGACGACGACGUUGAUAGGCCGGGUGUGUAAGCGCAGCGAUGCGUUGAGCUAACCGGUACUAAUGAACCGUGAGGCUUAACCUUACAACGCCGAAG
rnacentral:rRNA from 1 species